GGGGGCGACCUGGUUUCGACGUGGUCGGUUCUCCGGCAGAGCUGCAAGCCGAGGUCCCCGGUCGGCCUCGUUAAUCCACCGGGAAACAGAACAAAUGCGAAGCAUGAUCUCGCAAUCGCUGCCUAGGUAACCCUAGAGCUGGCGACGUCGCUCCUGGCUCGGCCCGAGGUCAGGUAAGCGGCGCCAACGUUCGGGCUCGGCAC
rnacentral:tmRNA from 1 species